ACAACCCCUUUUUAAGGGCCUAUGCAAAAUCUGGAUGCAUAACCAAAGUUACCCACCCACAACAAAUGUGAAUAAAAAAAUUAUGCAAUUCUUUGUCUCACUAUCUUGAGGAUGACCGGGAGGAUAUGCCAAUAUCCAAGCAAACAGGGACCAUUGCCAGACAGAGUCCGAGCUUUCUUCUCAGUUCUCAUUGUGCAAUUUGCCUGUCCAAGAGCACCUUCAACUCCCAAAAAUCUUUAAAUUUAUCCACUUUCUGAUGACUAUAAUGAUUAAACCUUCACAACCCACUCUGGACAAAAAAUUAUAUUUCAAAGGAAAUUUUAUUGAAAACACCUGUAUCAGCAAUCAGCAUAAUCUGAAGCACUAGAAAUUUUUCAUUAUACAUACAAGAAACUGAAACUAUCUCUGAAGAAACUGUAUUUAGUCUAAAAUAUCUUCCAAGUAUGUCUUUAAGCUUGCAAAAUCAAGCAAGCAAUUUAAGAAAAUAUAUGUUUGCUGCUAUAAUGUUCAGGAAGAAAAAAAACUUUUCACCGGUAUCAAGCAUGAAUUACAAAAAGUAAGGUUUAUGGCCAAGUCACUCUGGAUGUGGUAUUAUAUAGUAUGAGAUGGUACAAAUUUGAGUCAUUUCUUAUUGAGAAAGUGACACAUUUACAUUAGCAAAUGAUGUAACAGAUGGUAUUUGCUAUCAACAAGACUCUUACCUAAUGAUCUUUAGGAA
rnacentral:misc_RNA from 1 species